rnacentral:rRNA from 1 species
GAUGAACGCUGGCGGCGUGCUUAACACAUGCAAGUCGAACGGAAAGGCCCAAGCUUGCUUGGGUACUCGAGUGGCGAACGGGUGAGUAACACGUGGGUGAUCUGCCCUGCACUUCGGGAUAAGCCUGGGAAACUGGGUCUAAUACCGGAUAGGACCACAUUUUGGAUGGUGUGGUGGAAAGUUUUUCGGUGUGGGAUGAGCUCGCGGCCUAUCAGCUUGUUGGUGGGGUAAUGGCCUACCAAGGCGUCGACGGGUAGCCGGCCUGAGAGGGUGUACGGCCACAUUGGGACUGAGAUACGGCCCAGACUCCUACGGGAGGCAGCAGUGGGGAAUAUUGCACAAUGGGCGCAAGCCUGAUGCAGCGACGCCGCGUGGGGGAUGACGGCCUUCGGGUUGUAAACUCCUUUCGCUAGGGAAGAAGCGUUUUUGUGACGGUACCUGGAGAAGAAGCACCGGCUAACUACGUG